rnacentral:rRNA from 1 species
GGGUUGUGAGGUUAAGCGACUAAGCGUACACGGUGGAUGCCCUGGCAGUCAGAGGCGAUGAAGGACGUGCUAAUCUGCGAUAAGCGUCGGUAAGGUGAUAUGAACCGUUAUAACCGGCGAUUUCCGAAUGGGGAAACCCAGUGUGAUUCGUCACACUAUCAUUAACUGAAUCCAUAGGUUAAUGAGGCGAACCGGGGGAACUGAAACAUCUAAGUACCCCGAGGAAAAGAAAUCAACCGAGAUUCCCCCAGUAGCGGCGAGCGAACGGGGAGGAGCCCAGAGCCUGAAUCAGUGUGUGUGUUAGUGGAAGCGUCUGGAAAGGCGCGCGAUACAGGGUGACAGCCCCGUACACAAAAAUGCACAUGCUGUGAGCUCGAUGAGUAGGGCGGGACACGUGGUAUCCUGUCUGAAUAUGGGGGGACCAUCCUCCAAGGCUAAAUACUCCUGACUGACCGAUAGUGAACCAGUACCGUGAGGGAAAGGCGAAAAGAACCCCGGCGAGGGGAGUGAAAAAGAACCUGAAACCGUGUACGUACAAGCAGUGGGAGCACAGAGCAAUCUGUGUGACUGCGUACCUUUUGUAUAAUGGGUCAGCGACUUAUAUUCUGUAGCAAGGUUAACCGAAUAGGGGAGCCGAAGGGAAACCGAGUCUUAACUGGGCGUUAAGUUGCAGGGUAUAGACCCGAAACCCGGUGAUCUAGCCAUGGGCAGGUUGAAGGUUGGGUAACACUAACUGGAGGACCGAACCGACUAAUGUUGAAAAAUUAGCGGAUGACUUGUGGCUGGGGGUGAAAGGCCAAUCAAACCGGGAGAUAGCUGGUUCUCCCCGAAAGCUAUUUAGGUAGCGCCUCGUGAAUUCAUCUCCGGGGGUAGAGCACUGUUUCGGCAAGGGGGUCAUCCCGACUUACCAACCCGAUGCAAACUGCGAAUACCGGAGAAUGUUAUCACGGGAGACACACGGCGGGUGCUAACGUCCGUCGUGAAGAGGGAAACAACCCAGACCGCCAGCUAAGGUCCCAAAGUCAUGGUUAAGUGGGAAACGAUGUGGGAAGGCCCAGACAGCCAGGAUGUUGGCUUAGAAGCAGCCAUCAUUUAAAGAAAGCGUAAUAGCUCACUGGUCGAGUCGGCCUGCGCGGAAGAUGUAACGGGGCUAAACCAUGCACCGAAGCUGCGGCAGCGACACUGUGUGUUGUUGGGUAGGGGAGCGUUCUGUAAGCCUGUGAAGGUGUGCUGUGAGGCAUGCUGGAGGUAUCAGAAGUGCGAAUGCUGACAUAAGUAACGAUAAAGCGGGUGAAAAGCCCGCUCGCCGGAAGACCAAGGGUUCCUGUCCAACGUUAAUCGGGGCAGGGUGAGUCGACCCCUAAGGCGAGGCCGAAAGGCGUAGUCGAUGGGAAACAGGUUAAUAUUCCUGUACUUGGUGUUACUGCGAAGGGGGGACGGAGAAGGCUAUGUUGGCCGGGCGAUGGUUGUCCCGGUUUAAGCGUGUAGGCUGGUUUUCCAGGCAAAUCCGGAAAAUCAAGGCUGAGGCGUGAUGACGAGGCACUACGGUGCUGAAGCAACAAAUGCCCUGCUUCCAGGAAAAGCCUCUAAGCAUCAGGUAACAUCAAAUCGUACCCCAAACCGACACAGGUGGUCAGGUAGAGAAUACCAAGGCGCUUGAGAGAACUCGGGUGAAGGAACUAGGCAAAAUGGUGCCGUAACUUCGGGAGAAGGCACGCUGAUAUGUAGGUGAAGUCCCUCGCGGAUGGAGCUGAAAUCAGUCGAAGAUACCAGCUGGCUGCAACUGUUUAUUAAAAACACAGCACUGUGCAAACACGAAAGUGGACGUAUACGGUGUGACGCCUGCCCGGUGCCGGAAGGUUAAUUGAUGGGGUCAGCGCAAGCGAAGCUCUUGAUCGAAGCCCCGGUAAACGGCGGCCGUAACUAUAACGGUCCUAAGGUAGCGAAAUUCCUUGUCGGGUAAGUUCCGACCUGCACGAAUGGCGUAAUGAUGGCCAGGCUGUCUCCACCCGAGACUCAGUGAAAUUGAACUCGCUGUGAAGAUGCAGUGUACCCGCGGCAAGACGGAAAGACCCCGUGAACCUUUACUAUAGCUUGACACUGAACAUUGAGCCUUGAUGUGUAGGAUAGGUGGGAGGCUUUGAAGUGUGGACGCCAGUCUGCAUGGAGCCGACCUUGAAAUACCACCCUUUAAUGUUUGAUGUUCUAACGUGGACCCGUGAUCCGGGUUGCGGACAGUGUCUGGUGGGUAGUUUGACUGGGGCGGUCUCCUCCUAAAGAGUAACGGAGGAGCACGAAGGUUGGCUAAUCCUGGUCGGACAUCAGGAGGUUAGUGCAAUGGCAUAAGCCAGCUUGACUGCGAGCGUGACGGCGCGAGCAGGUGCGAAAGCAGGUCAUAGUGAUCCGGUGGUUCUGAAUGGAAGGGCCAUCGCUCAACGGAUAAAAGGUACUCCGGGGAUAACAGGCUGAUACCGCCCAAGAGUUCAUAUCGACGGCGGUGUUUGGCACCUCGAUGUCGGCUCAUCACAUCCUGGGGCUGAAGUAGGUCCCAAGGGUAUGGCUGUUCGCCAUUUAAAGUGGUACGCGAGCUGGGUUUAGAACGUCGUGAGACAGUUCGGUCCCUAUCUGCCGUGGGCGCUGGAGAACUGAGGGGGGCUGCUCCUAGUACGAGAGGACCGGAGUGGACGCAUCACUGGUGUUCGGGUUGUCAUGCCAAUGGCACUGCCCGGUAGCUAAAUGCGGAAGAGAUAAGUGCUGAAAGCAUCUAAGCACGAAACUUGCCCCGAGAUGAGUUCUCCCUGACCCUUUAAGGGUCCUGAAGGAACGUUGAAGACGACGACGUUGAUAGGCCGGGUGUGUAAGCGCAGCGAUGCGUUGAGCUAACCGGUACUAAUGAACCGUGAGGCUUAACCUUACAACGCCGAAGGUGUUU